rnacentral:rRNA from 1 species
CCUACGGGAGGCAGCAGUCGAGAAUCAUUCACAAUGGGGGAAACCCUGAUGGUGCGACGCCGCGUGGGGGAAUGAAGGUCUUCGGAUUGUAAACCCCUGUCAUGUGGGAGCAAAUUAAAAAGAUAGUACCACAAGAGGAAGAGACGGCUAACUCUGUGCCAGCAGCCGCGGUAAUACAGAGGUCUCAAGCGUUGUUCGGAAUCACUGGGCGUAAGGCGUGCGUAGGCUGUUUCGUAAGUCGUGUGUGAAAGGCGCGGGCUCAACCCGCGGACGGCACAUGAUACUGCGAGACUAGAGUAAUGGAGGGGGAACCGGAAUUCGCGGUGUAGCAGUGAAAUGCGUAGAUAUCGAGAGGAACACUCGUGGCGAAGGCGGGUUCCUGGACAUUAACUGACGCUGAGGCACGAAGGCCAGGGGAGCGAAAGGGAUUAGAUACCCCAGUAGUC